rnacentral:rRNA from 1 species
UACGUAGGGGGCAAGCGUUGUCCGGAAUUAUUGGGCGUAAAGCGCGCGCAGGCGGUUCUUUAAGUCUGGUGUUUAAACCAUGGGCUCAACCUAUGGUCGCACUGGAAACUGGGGAACUUGAGUGCGGAAGAGGAGAGUGGAAUUCCACGUGUAGCGGUGAAAUGCGUAGAUAUGUGGAGGAACACCAGUGGCGAAGGCGACUCUCUGGGCUGUAACUGACGCUGAGGCGCGAAAGCGUGGGGAGCAAACA